AGGAGUAUAGCUCAGGGGGAGAGCAUUUGCCUGCAGAUCAAGAGGUCCCUGGUUCAGAUCCAGGGACUAUAA
rnacentral:tRNA from 1 species